AUACAGGCGGUUGACGUCAACAAACCUCAUCGAACAUUCAAAAAGGGAUUGCAAUAAUGAUUUUUAUCCACCAAUCCAAAGAAAGGAUAGGCGGGAGCUAGACAGCCCGCUGUUCCGCUUCGUGGACGACUGAGAUACCACAACAAUCAUGGCGGCGCUGUUUGUCUGCCUUCGGAUUCAGAAAUGGAGAGAGCCGAACCCUCCUCGUUCCUACGAAAAUCUUGUAUGUAAACAAGGUCAGUCAUACUGCAGCAUACAGUCAACUUGUUCUCCAGUAGAAUUUCUCCUGUGCAUAGAAGACACCAAUCGGCUUACAUUACAACAUUGUGACAGAAUCUCAGCACAGUUGCCAAGAUGAUGCAGUGUUUCCACUUUAUAGUUGAGCCGGUCAAGAACAUCACAGCCAAGCUUAAGGAAUCUCGCAAGAGGGCGAAGAAUGAGAAGAGAGAGCCACUGGAAGCAAAUCAGCUGUUUAUUGUGGAGCUGGCUAGAGAUCUCAAUCGAGUGUGUCAGAGGUCUGAGGUGCUGGAGAACAUCUGGAAACUAGAGGACAUCUGGCC